CAAUAGCGUAUAUUAAAGUUGUUGCAGUUAAAAAGCUCGUAGUUGGAUUUCUGGUAGGAGUGACCGUUCCGAACUUGAUUGUUCGUGUAUUGUGUUUUCUCCAGCCAUCCUUGUGGAGAACAUUUCUUGCAUUAAUUUGUAGGGAUUGGGACCCGCAUCGUUUACUGUGAAAAAAUUAGAGUGUUUAAAGCAGGCAAUCGCUUGAAUACAUUAGCAUGGAAUAAUAAGAUAGGACUUUGGUACUAUUUUGUUGGUUUGCAUACCAAAUUAAUGAUCAACAGGAACAGUUUGAGGAUAUUCGUAUGAACAUGUCAGAGGUGAAAUUCUUGGAUUUUGAUCAGACGAACUACUGCGAAAGCAUUUAUCAAGGAUGUUUUCAUUAA
rnacentral:rRNA from 1 species